ACUGGCUGCUACAGUCUCACAGUAGUAGUCGAGCGGCAGCGGAAGUACCUUGCUACUUUGCCGGCGAGCGGCGGACGGGUGAGUAAUGUCUGGGAAACUGCCUGAUGGAGGGGGAUAACUACUGGAAACGGUAGCUAAUACCGCAUAACGUCGCAAGACCAAAGAGGGGGACCUUCGGGCCUCUUGCCAUCAGAUGUGCCCAGAUGGGAUUAGCUAGUAGGUGGGGUAACGGCUCACCUAGGCGACGAUCCCUAGCUGGUCUGAGAGGAUGACCAGCCACACUGGAACUGAGACACGGUCCAGACUCCUACGGGAGGCAGCAGUGGGGAAUAUUGCACAAUGGGCGCAAGCCUGAUGCAGCCAUGCCGCGUGUAUGAAGAAGGCCUUCGGGUUGUAAAGUACUUUCAGCGGGGAGGAAGGUGGUGAGGUUAAUAACCUCAGCAAUUGACGUUACCCGCAGAAGAAGCACCGGCUAACUCCGUGCCAGCAGCCGCGGUAAUACGGAGGGUGCAAGCGUUAAUCGGAAUUACUGGGCGUAAAGCGCACGCAGGCGGUCUGUCAAGUCAGAUGUGAAAUCCCCGGGCUCAACCUGGGAACUGCAUUCGAAACUGGCAGGCUAGACUCUUGUAGAGGGGGGUAGAAUUCCAGGUGUAGCGGUGAAAUGCGUAGAGAUCUGGAGGAAUACCCGGUGGCGAACGCGGCCCCCUGGACAAAGACUGACGCUCAGGUGAGAAAGCGUGGGGAGCAAACAGGAUUAGAUACCCUGGUAGUCACGCCGUAAACGAUGUCCACUUGCAUGUUGUGCCCUUGACGCGUGUCUUCCGGAGCUAACGCGAUAACUCCACCCUCCUGGGGGACUACGGCCGCAAGGUUAAAACUCAAAUGAAUUGACCGGGGCUCCCGGCACAGGCGCGUGGACUCUGGUGUUUUAAUUCCGAUGC
rnacentral:rRNA from 1 species